rnacentral:pre_miRNA from 1 species
AGUGGGAUAGCUGGGUCAAAUGGUGGUUCCAUUCCCAGUUUUCCAUGGAAUCUCCACACUGCUUUCCAUAUUCCAAAAUGGCUGUACCAUUUUGCAGUCCCACCAGCAAU